AGGGAUGUAGAACAAUUUGGUAGCGCGUUUGUUUUGGGUAUAAAAUGUCAUGGGUUCAAAUCCUAUUAUUCUUA
rfam:Populus trichocarpa scaffold_3_contig_199, whole genome shotgun sequence.